GCUGCUUGCUCCAGCUCUCCAGCUUCUCAUGAACAACAAAUGAAUUUGCUUCAAGAUGAUAGUAUUAAUAAGGGGACAGAAAUGGCUUCAUCAGAAAUUGCCUCAUUAUCUGCUUCAAGUUCACAACUUGAUCAUCUAUGGAAGUAAUAUAAUGCUCUAAAUAUUUACUACUAAUCAUAGAAAAUAUAUGUUGAUGAAUGGAUUUGAUAUAUGUACUUAAUGGCCUCAGUUUCUGUACAUAAUAAAACUCAAAUGGUGAUGUAUUAGUGGUUUAAAAAAAUUGUACUGGUUUAUAAGACAAUGAAACUCGUAUUUAAGAAAAUCGAACCAAAAAAUAUAUAUAGAGGACCUCUAAUGCGUAUAUAUUUAUAUUUGGAUUCUCAAGGCAAGAUAUGACAUUUUUCAUGUGUUGGAUCUUGGAUAAUGUAUUUUCUUUAAUGCAGCUCUAACAUUUUAAAAACAAUUUGGAUAUUCCUCGAUUUACAUGCAUGACGAAGUUCAGGCACACAAGUCAUGCUAUUUUUUAUUUUAUUUUUUAAUAUUUCCAAUUUUAUGAGAUGUUCCCAAAGAUGACCAAAUUGAUCUAGUAUGAUAUCGUCCUUGAACGGACUAUAGAUAUAUUAUGGUGAUACUACUUUCCAGAUUGAUUGUGUUUUGACUAAUUUUCUCCAACUGAAUUGAAGUGUUUUUAAGCUAAGUAUUAAUUAUUUCAACCAUUAAGAUGAAUAUUUCCAGCAGAUAUGGAAGGAAAAAAUUUGUUGGCAAAUGAUAAGCUGACAAUGAAAACCUCCCAUAUUGUCUAAUCCAAAAAAAAGAAAUUGAUCUUGAAGACAUUUCUAAAUAACUAAUUAAUUAUGUCUUCUAGAUCUCUAAUUGUAAAAUGUUUUUAUAAUUCGAAACUGUGCAUAUAAAAUUUUCCAUUGUUAAUAUCAUUAUGUUGAAACUAUCCAAUUAGACCAAAAAGAAGUUUGAAAUUUAUCAAACUAAAUGCAAAAAAAGAAAGAAAGAAAAGAACUAGGCCUAUGCUCCUAUUAUUCAGUCCAGUAUUUUGAACGAAGCAUAAUUUAAAUUUGUAAUAGGUUCACCAUUGAUAUUUUAUUGAAUUUAUAGACUAUACAUUAUAUAUGUGUCUUCCUUCACUCAGGUCUCAUAAUUACGUCGAACUAGAUCCAAAAUUGAAAAUUUAGCAAUGCAAAACUAUUGUUACUGUCAACAAUGCAAAACUCGUUUAUUUUUUUUAUUUGGUGGGGGGUUUGGAUUGUUAAAUACAAUAUUACUGUGCUAAUGUCAACUAAAGAGAAGCCUUCUCAUGGAAGUCACUAAAUGCGUGGUUAAUUCCACUUUAAUAAGAAGCAAAGCUUGCUUAACACUUCCAAAUUACGAUAAAGAGAAUUAUUUAAAAUUUGCUUUCUAACAACUUUUUCUAAGUAAAUAGGGUGGUCGCACAAUUCACUAUAUUAUUAAAGCAUACGAUAUUUUAGGUUUAAAGUUUACUAUCACCUAUUCCCUCCAUUCACUUUUAUUUGUCUGUUAUAUAAAAAUAUAUUCCUCUUUUGCAUAUCACUUUUAGCAUAUCAAAAGAAAAAUAUCGUGUUUUCAUAUUUUCCCCUCAACGUUAAUUACUUAUUCUCUAAAUUAUUUUUCAAGAUCUCAAAAUAAGUAACAAUUAAUAUGAGUAAUUGUAGUAAAAUACUUAGGGAAAUUAUCAUUAAUACCUUAACAUGCCAGCAUAUAAAGUCUAAACUGGACAAGUAAAAAUGUACGAAUAAAGUAUUAUCAAAAGAAUUCACACCAAAUAAAAGAGUGCACCAUUGCUAUAGUUUUCUGUGCAUACUUUAACCAGGAUCAUGAAUUAGUAAGAAAGUUUCCAAAUGCAAGCAUAGCAGAUAAAACAAAACACACCACUUAUUUCUAAAUUGAAAUUUGUAAUCAACGAGAAGAUUCCAAUUGUGAUUUCUAAGAAACCUUGGCUAAAAUCCUCUAGAUUUGCUUUUUAAAUACUUGAGAGGCAUUGAACCAAAAUCACUCAAUCUUCUUGUUUGCCCUACCUUGAAGUUCAAGAUUACCUCAAUUAGAUAAAUUACUCCCUCCCUUUAAAUAUAUUUGUUUUAUUUUUCCUAUUAUUUUUAGUUUCAACUUUCUAUAUGUUAUAUUUAACACUACAAAGACUAAAUGACAUUUUGAUACAUUCUACAUAUCUUCAGUUUAAGACCGUACGAUUUAAAAGUCAUCUUUACUUCUUUAAACUCUGUAUAAAGUGAAAAUCAGACAAUCAAAUUGAAACGAAGGAAGUAAAACAAAAGAAUGAAGCUAAAGUGCUAAACUAUAGUAGAAACUUAAAUUCCCAACAAGUCAUCUCUUCAAGAUUCAUAACUCAGCUCACCUUGAUAUCUCUUCAAAUAAUGCAAGCCAUUUUGCUGCUACGCACAAGCUCAAUGCAUAUAUAUACAAAAAAUUUAUUCAAGAUCAAGAUAUAUAGAUGUUGAGGAAUUUU
rnacentral:lncRNA from 1 species